rnacentral:rRNA from 1 species
AGGGAGGAAGGCCAUUGGGUUGUAAACCUCUUUUCUCAGGGAAGAAGAUCUGACGGUACCUGAGGAAUAAGCGUCGGCUAACUCCGUGCCAGCAGCCGCGGUAAUACGGAGGAUGCAAGCGUUAUCCGGAAUCAUUGGGCGUAAAGCGUCCGCAGGUGGUUUUUCAAGUCUGCUGUUAAAGACUGGAGCUCAACUCCGGAAAGGCAGUGGAAACUGAGAAACUAGAGUUCGGUAGGGGUAGCGGGAAUUCCCAGUGUAGCGGUGAAAUGCGUAGAUAUUGGGAAGAACAUCGGUGGCGAAGGCGCGCUACUGGACCGAAACUGACACUCAGGGACGAAAGCUAGGGUAGCGAAAGGGAUUAGAUACCCCUGUAGUCCUAGCUGUAAACGAUGGAAACUAGGUGUGGCUUGUAUCGACCCGAGCCGUGCCGUAGCUAACGCGUUAAGUUUCCCGCCUGGGGAGUACGCACGCAAGUGUGAAACUCAAAGGAAUUGACGGGGGCCCGCACAAGCGGUGGAGUAUGUGGUUUAAUUCGAUGCAACGCGAAGAACCUUACCAGGGCUUGACAUGUCGCGAAUCUUGGUGAAAGCUGAGAGUGCCUUCGGGAGCGCGAACACAGGUGGUGCAUGGCUGUCGUCAGCUCGUGUCGUGAGAUGUUGGGUUAAGUCCCGCAACGAGCGCAACCCUCGUCUUUAGUUGCCAGCAUUAAGUUGGGCACUUUAGAGAGACUGCCGGUGACAAACCGGAGGAAGGUGGGGAUGACGUCAAGUCAGCAUGCCCCUUACGCCCUGGGCUACACACGUACUACAAUGGUUGGGACAAAGGGCAGCAAACCCGCGAGGGUAAGCGAAUCUCAUCAAACCCAGCCUCAGUUCAGAUUGCAGGCUGCAACUCGCCUGCAUGAAGGAGGAAUCGCUAGUAAUCGCAGGUCAGCAUACUGCGGUGAAUUCGUUCCCGGGCCUUGUACACACCGCCCGUCACACCAUGGAAGCUGGUCACGCCCGAAGUAGUUACCCUAACCUUUCGGGGGGGGGGACUCCUAAGGCAGGGCUAGUGACUGGGGUGAAGUCGUAACAAGGUAGCCGUACCGGAGGGUGUGGCUG